CAGGAAGUAGUUUAAGUAGAAUAUCAGCUUUGGGUGCUGAUGGUGAGGAUGUAGUCUUCCUUCUUGA
rnacentral:tRNA from 1 species